ACCCAAUAGAUACCCAGGUAGUCCACGCCGUAAACGUUGGGAACUAGAUGUGGGGUCCAUUCCACGGACUCCGUGUCGCAGCUAAACGCAUUAAGUUCCCCGCCUGGGGAGUACGGCCGCAAGGCUAAAACUCAAAGGAAUUGACGGGGGCCCGCACAAGCGGCGGAGCAUGCGGAUUAAUUCGAUGCAACGCGAAGAACCUUACCAAGGCUUGACAUAUACCUGAAAAGGCUGGAAACAGUCUCCCCGCAAGGCAGGUAUACAGGUGGUGCAUGGUUGUCGUCAGCUCGUGUCGUGAGAUGUUGGGUUAAGUCCCGCAACGAGCGCAACCCUCGUUCUAUGUUGCCAGCGGGUUAUGCCGGGAACUCAUAGGAGACUGCCGGGGUCAACUCGGAGGAAGGUGGGGAUGACGUCAAAUCAUCAUGCCCCUUAUGUCUUGGGCUUCACGCAUGCUACAAUGGCCGGUACAAAGGGCUGCAAUACCGUAAGGUGGAGCGAAUCCCAAAAAGCCGGUCUCAGUUCGGAUUGAGGUCUGCAACCCGACCUC
rnacentral:rRNA from 1 species